rnacentral:rRNA from 1 species
AACGAACGCUGGCGGCAGGCCUAACACAUGCAAGUCGAGCGCCCCGCAAGGGGAGCGGCGGACGGGUGAGUAACGCGUGGGAACGUACCCUUUGCUACGGAAUAGCCUCGGGAAACUGGGAGUAAUACCGUAUGUGCCCUUCGGGGGAAAGAUUUAUCGGCAAAGGAUCGGCCCGCGUUGGAUUAGGUAGUUGGUGGGGUAAUGGCCUACCAAGCCGACGAUCCAUAGCUGGUUUGAGAGGAUGAUCAGCCACACUGGGACUGAGACACGGCCCAGACUCCUACGGGAGGCAGCAGGUGGGGAAUCUUAGACAAUGGGGGAAACCCUGAUCCAGCAAUGCCGCGUGCGUGAAGAAGGCCUUAGGGUUGUAAAGCGCUUUCACCUGUGAUGAUGAUGACAGUAGCAGGAGAAGAAGCCCCGGCUAACUCCGUG